rnacentral:rRNA from 1 species
UACGAAGGGUGCAAGCGUUAAUCGGAAUUACUGGGCGUAAAGGGUGCGUAGGCGGUUGUUUAAGUCUGUCGUGAAAUCCCCGGGCUCAACCUGGGAAUGGCGAUGGAUACUGGGCAGCUAGAGUGUGUCAGAGGAUGGUGGAAUUCCCGGUGUAGCGGUGAAAUGCGUAGAUAUCUGGAGGAACACCGGUGGCGAAGGCGGCAUCCUGGACCGGUAUUGACGCUGAGGCGCGAAAGCCAGGGGAGCAAACGGG